CGGCUACCACAUCCAAGGAAGGCAGCAGGCGCGCAAAUUGCCCAAUCCCGAUACGGGGAGGUAGUGACAAUAAAUACUGAUACGGGGCUCUUUUGGGUCUCGUAAUUGGAAUGAGAACAAUUUAAAUCCCUUAACGAGGAACAAUUGGAGGGCAAGUCUGGUGCCAGCAGCCGCGGUAAUUCCAGCUCCAAUAGCGUAUAUUAAAGUUGUUGCAGUUAAAAAGCUCGUAGUUGAACCUUGGGUCUGGCUGGCCGGUCCGCCUCACCGCGAGUACUGGUCCGGCUGGACCUUUCCUUCUGGGGAACCCCAUGGCCUUCACUGGCUGUGGGGGGAACCAGGACUUUUACUGUGAAAAAAUUAGAGUGUUCAAAGCAGGCCUUUGCUCGAAUACAUUAGCAUGGAAUAAUAGAAUAGGACGUGUGGUUCUAUUUUGUUGGUUUCUAGGACCGCCGUAAUGAUUAAUAGGGGUAGUCGGGGGCGUCAGUAUUCAGCUGUCAGAGGUGAAAUUCUUGGAUUUGCUGAAGACUAACUACUGCGAAAGCAUUCGCCAAGGAUGUUUUCAUUAAUCAGGGAACGAAAGUUAGGGGAUCGAAGACGAUCAGAUACCGUCGUAGUCUUAACCAUAAACUAUGCCGACUAGGGAUCGGACGGGAUUCUAUAAUGACCCGUUCGGCACCUUACGAGAGAUCAAAGUUUUUGGGUUCUGGGGGGAGUAUGGUCGCAAGGCUGAAACUUAAAGAAAUUGACGGAAGGGCACCACAAGGCGUGGAGCCUGCGG
rnacentral:rRNA from 1 species